rnacentral:rRNA from 1 species
AGAGUUUGAUCAUGGCUCAGAUUGAACGCUGGCGGUAUGCUUAACACAUGCAAGUCGAACGGUAACAGCAGAGCUUGCUCUGGCUGACGAGUGGCGGACGGGUGCGUAACGCGUAGGAAUCUGCCUAUUAGUGGGGGACAACCUGGGGAAACUCAGGCUAAUACCGCAUACGCCCUACGGGGGAAAGCGGGGGAUCUUCGGACCUCGCGCUAAUAGAUGAGCCUGCGUUAGAUUAGCUGGUUGGUGAGGUAAUGGCUCACCAAGGCGACGAUCUAUAGCUGGUCUGAGAGGACGAUCAGCCACACUGGGACUGAGACACGGCCCAGACUCCUACGGGAGGCAGCAGUGGGGAAUAUUGGACAAUGGGCGCAAGCCUGAUCCAGCAAUACCGCGUGUGUGAAGAAGGCCCGAGGGUUGUAAAGCACUUUCAAUGGGGAGGAAAACAGGCAGCUUAAUAAGCUGUCUCUUGACA